ACGAACGCUGGCGGCGUGCCUAAUACAUGCAAGUCGAACGAAACUUUCUUACACCGAAUGCUUGCAUUCACCGUAAGAAGUUGAGUGGCGGACGGGUGAGUAACACGUGGGUAACCUGCCUAAAAGAAGGGGAUAACACUUGGAAACAGGUGCUAAUACCGUAUAUCUCUAAGGAUCGCAUGAUCCUUAGAUGAAAGAUGGUUCUGCUAUCGCUUUUAGAUGGACCCGCGGCGUAUUAACUAGUUGGUGGGGUAACGGCCUACCAAGGUGAUGAUACGUAGCCGAACUGAGAGGUUGAUCGGCCACAUUGGGACUGAGACACGGCCCAAACUCCUACGGGAGGCAGCAGUAGGGAAUCUUCCACAAUGGACGCAAGUCUGAUGGAGCAACGCCGCGUGAGUGAAGAAGGUCUUCGGAUCGUAAAACUCUGUUGUUAGAGAAGAACACGAGUGAGAGUAACUGUUCAUUCGAUGACGGUAUCUAACCAGCAAGUCACGGCUAACUACGUGCCAGCAGCCGCGGUAAUACGUAGGUGGCAAGCGUUGUCCGGAUUUAUUGGGCGUAAAGGGAACGCAGGCGGUCUUUUAAGUCUGAUGUGAAAGCCUUCGGCUUAACCGGAGUAGUGCAUUGGAAACUGGAAGACUUGAGUGCAGAAGAGGAGAGUGGAACUCCAUGUGUAGCGGUGAAAUGCGUAGAUAUAUGGAAGAACACCAGUGGCGAAAGCGGCUCUCUGGUCUGUAACUGACGCUGAGGUUCGAAAGCGUGGGUAGCAAACAGGAUUAGAUACCCUGGUAGUCCACACUGUAAACGAUGGAUACUAGGUGUAGGCAUGAAUGUGUCUGUGCCGUCGCAAACGCAGUAAGUAUUCCACCUGGGGAGUACGAUCGCAAGAUUGAAACUCAAAGGAAUUGACGGGGGCCCGCACAAGCGGUGGAGUAUGUGGUUUAAUUCGACGCAACGCGAAGAACCUUACCAGGUCUUGACAUCCUUUGACCACCUAAGAGAUUAGGCUUUCCCUUCGGGGACAAAGUGACAGGUGGUGCAUGGCUGUCGUCAGCUCGUGUCGUGAGAUGUUGGGUUAAGUCCCGCAACGAGCGCAACCCUUGUUGUCAGUUGCCAGCAUUAAGUUGGGCACUCUGGCGAGACUGCCGGUGACAAACCGGAGGAAGGUGGGGACGACGUCAAGUCAUCAUGCCCCUUAUGACCUGGGCUACACACGUGCUACAAUGGACGGUACAACGAGUCGCGAGACCGCGAGGUUUAGCUAAUCUCUUAAAGCCGUUCUCAGUUCGGAUUGUAGGCUGCAACUCGCCUACAUGAAGUCGGAAUCGCUAGUAAUCGCGAAUCAGCAUGUCGCGGUGAAUACGUUCCCGGGCCUUGUACACACCGCCCGUCACACCAUGAGAGUUUGUAACACCCAAAGCCGGUGGGGUAACCGCAAGGAGCCAGCCGUCUAAGGUGGGACAGAUGAUUGGGGUG
rnacentral:rRNA from 1 species